CGACCAAGAUUUCUACAUGAGAUUUGAGUAAGAAAUUUGCUACAUUUAUUAAGAUUCUCGAAUCUAGUCAUGAUUAUGCUCAAUCCAGGGUUGAAAUUUACCCAAAAUUUGAUAAGUUCACCUUUAGUUAACCCUAAGUGCUGAAAUUUGUGGGGAUUAUCGUCUUUAAUUAACGAGAUGUAUUAGGAAAAUUAAAUUAUCUUUCCUAGUGCAAUUCCUUAACUUUAGGGAGUGCUUAAGUACAAUUCGAUGUACCAUAUAGUGUUAGGAUUUCCUAAGAUGUUUAAGUUGUCUCAUUUACUAAAUAGUUGUGACAAGGUUAUUUCUAAGAGAUUUUUGAGAAAUUUCAUAUCCUAGAUUUUAAAAUUUUGUCCCAUGGGAGUCAAGUCUAAGAGAUGUUCUUGCAUAUUAUUCUCCCAACGUAUCUAAGUUUAGUUUCUAAGUUCAAACGACUAAACCCAAAAUUUCAAGGAAGCCUAAGAUUUGAAGUAUCUAUGUUCUCAGUUUUCCCUAACUCUAAGGGAAUUCUAAAUAGGUUCAAAUGGCUAUCCUAUCAAUUUCAAAGGGAACUUAUGUUUGGGUCUUUAUAUUCUCAAACUUUUUUUGUUUAAUCUAAAGAAAAUUUACAUAGGUUAAAAUAUCUAAUUCUAACUUCCUAGCUUAAGACAUUUAAGGUCUGUAUAAGUUUGUUUCCCAAAGGCAGGGUUUGUCUAGACUCUCUCUGAUACCAUCUUUAAUUGCACUUAUACUGUGUUUGAUUUCUGUUAAUCGCACUUUGAUCUUGCAUUGACUAUCAUUGGAUUAUCUGCUAACAUCCAGGCUUUCAAGAAACGAGUUACAUACUCGGGUCGUCGGAAGAGGAUUGGAUGGUACGUAUUCCGGUCGAAAGCAUUUCGACACCUGCAUUCAUCUGAAUAGAAUGUUUUGCUAGUUUCUGCCUUCUUGGUUUUUUACUUUCAUCCUCUCGCAGGCCGCGUUAAACGACUUCACUCAUAUCUACGAAGACAGAGGCGUCUAUAGCAUACAUCCUAGUAACAUAUUUUUAUCCUUGCAGAAGUAUUCGGUCUACUGUAUUGCUGCAACAUUUUAUGAAUGUUAUACAGAUAGAUCAUCACAUAUUGAGUGGGAAUAGUGGAGGACCACUUCUCGAUCACUUAGGACGCUUAAUUGGGAUAGUCGUAUCAUCAGCUCCCAAUUUUGGAUUUGCUAUCCCCAUUGAUUCGGUCAUGAGCUGUGCGGGAAAGCUUUUGAAGCUUAAGAAAGCGCACUAGACAAGACAAUAGAUGAUGAUGGUUUUGUUCCUCGAUUAACUAAUGGCACACCGAGAACUUGUAAUUAAAGAGAGCUUCAAAAAAUACUCACUAAGGAGUUAUUCAGGGAAAUAAUGCCAUCGGUGGUGCAAUCUUCGACUGUACUCGUGCACACAAAAAAGUGGGGUCCGUUGCAGGCCUACUACUAUAAGUCAUCGCCGUAUGCGGCUAAAGACAUAGCGUUGAUCAAAGUCAGGCUUUCAACUUUUCCAUUUUUGUUAU